rnacentral:rRNA from 1 species
CAGGAGGGAGCUUGCUUCCUUGCUGACGAGUGGCGGACGGGUGAGUAAUGCUUGGGAAUCUGUCUUAGGGAGGGGGAUAACCACGGGAAACUGUGGCUAAUACCGCGUAUAAUCGGAAGAUGAGAGGUGUGGGACUGAAGAGCCACAUGCCCUAAGGUGAGCCCAAGUGAGAUUAGGUAGUUGGUGGGGUAAGGGCCUACCAAGCCGACGAUCUCUAGCUGGUCUGAGAGGAUGACCAGUCACACUGGGACUGAGACACGGCCCAGACUCCUACGGGAGGCAGCAGUGGGGAAUAUUGCGCAAUGGGGGGAACCCUGACGCAGCCAUGCCGCGUGAAUGAAGAAGGCCUUCGGGUUGUAAAGUUCUUUCAGUGGUGAGGAAGGUAAUAAUGUUAAUAGUAUUAUUAAUUGACGUUAGCCACAGAAGAAGCACCGGCUAAUUCCGUGCCAGCAGCCGCGGUAAUACGGAAGGUGCGAGCAUUAAUCGGAAUAACUGGGCGUAAAGGGCACGCAGGCGGUAACUUAAGUGAGGUGUGAAAGCCCAGGGCUUAACCUUGGAGGUGCAUUUCAUACUGGGUUACUAGAGUACUCUAGGGAGGGGUAGAAUUCCACGUGUAGCGGUGAA